UACGGAGGGUGCAAACGUUGCUCGGAAUCAUUGGGCGUAAAGCGCACGUAGGCGGACCGCUAAGUCGGAUGUGAAAUCCCUCGGCUUAACCGAGGAAGUGCACUCGAAACUGACGGUCUUGAGUAUGGAAGAGGGUCGCGGAAUUCCCGGUGUAGAGGUGAAAUUCGUAGAUAUCGGGAGGAACACCAGUGGCGAAGGCGGCGACCUGGGCCAAUACUGACGCUGAGGUGCGAAAGCGUGGGGAGCAAACAGG
rnacentral:rRNA from 1 species